GGAGGGGUGCAAACGUUGCUCGGAAUUACUGGGCGUAAAGCGCGUGUAGGCGGGUACGUUAAGUCUCGUGUGAAAGCCCUGGGGCUCAACCCAGGAAGUGCACGGGAUACUGACGAACUAGAGUGCGGGAGAAGAGGGCGGAAUUCCCGGUGUAGAGGUGAAAUUCGUAGAUAUCGGGAGGAACACCAGUAGCGAAGGCGGCUCUCUAGACCGACACUGACGCUCAGACGCGAAAGCGUGGGUAGCAAACAGGAUUAGAUACCCUGGUAGUCCACGCCGUAAACGAUGGAUACUAGAUGUUGGGGGCUUGACCCCCUCAGCGUCGCAGCUAACGCAUUAAGUAUCCCGCCUGGGGAGUACGGUCGCAAAGACUAA
rnacentral:rRNA from 1 species